GACAUAGGUGGCGAACGUUAUCCGGAAUUAUUGGGCGUAAAGGAUGCGUAGGUGGUAGAAUAAGUUACUGGUCGAUGCCAAACUCAAUUUGACGGAAGCUGGUAAUACUGUUCUGCUCGAGGACAGGAGAGGUUGAUGGAAUUCUGUGUGGAGCGGUGAAAUGCGUUGAUCUACAGAGGAACACCAAAAAAGGCGAAGGCAGUCAACUAUUCUAUUCCUGACAUUGAGGCAUGAAAGCGUGGGGAGCAAACCGG
rnacentral:rRNA from 1 species